GGCUCCGUGGUCUAAUGGUAAGGACACGACCCUUUCAAGGUCGUAAUGCUGGGUUCAAGUCCCGCCGGAGUCA
rnacentral:tRNA from 1 species